rnacentral:rRNA from 1 species
AACGAACGCUGGCGGCAUGCCUAACACAUGCAAGUCGAACGAUACCUUCGGGUCUAGUGGCGCACGGGUGCGUAACGCGUGGGAACCUGCCCUUAGGUUCGGAAUAACUCCCCGAAAGGGGUGCUAAUACCGGAUAAUGUCUUCGGACCAAAGAUUUAUCGCCUUUGGAUGGGCCCGCGUUGGAUUAGCUAGUUGUUAGGGUAAAAGCCUACCAAGGCGACGAUCCAUAGCUGUUCUGAGAGGAUGAUCAGCCACACUGGGACUGAGACACGGCCCAGAAUCCUACGGGAGGCAGCAGUGGGGAAUAUUGGACAAUGGGCGAAAGCCUGAUCCAGCAAUGCCGCGUGAGUGAUGAAGGCCUUAGGGUUGUAAAGCUCUUUUACACGGGAUGAUAAUGACAGUACCGGGAGAAUAAGCUCCGGCUAACUCCGUG